UACGUAGGGGGCUAGCGUUGUCCGGAAUCAUUGGGCGUAAAGAGCGUGUAGGCGGUCCGGUAAGUCCGUUGUGAAAGUCAGGGGCUCAACCCUUGAAUGCCGGCGGAUACUGUCGGGCUAGAGUCCGGAAGAGGCAAGUGGAAUUCCCGGUGUAGCGGUGAAAUGCGCAGAUAUCGGGAGGAACACCUAUGGCGAAGGCAGCUUGCUGGGACGGUACUGACGCUGAGAACGCGAAAGCGUGGGGGAGCAAACAGG
rnacentral:rRNA from 1 species